GACGAACGCUGGCGGCGUGCUUAACACAUGCAAGUCGAACGGAAAGGCCCUGCUUUUGUGGGGUGCUCGAGUGGCGAACGGGUGAGUAACACGUGAGUAACCUGCCCUUGACUUUGGGAUAACUUCAGGAGACUGGGGCUAAUACCGGAUAGGAGCUCCUGCUGCAUGGUGGGGGUUGGAAAGUUUCGGCGGUUGGGGAUGGACUCGCGGCUUAUCAGCUUGUUGGUGGGGUAGUGGCUUACCAAGGCUUUGACGGGUAGCCGGCCUGAGAGGGUGACCGGCCACAUUGGGACUGAGAUACGGCCCAGACUCCUACGGGAGGCAGCAGUGGGGAAUAUUGCACAAUGGGCGGAAGCCUGAUGCAGCAACGCCGCGUGCGGGAUGACGGCCUUCGGGUUGUAAACCGCUUUCGCCUGUGACGAAGCGUGGGUGACGGUAAUGGGUAAAGAAGCACCGGCUAACUACGUG
rnacentral:rRNA from 1 species